GAUGAACGCUGGCGGCGUGCCUAAUACAUGCAAGUCGAGCGAACGGACGAGAAGCUUGCUUCUCUGAUGUUAGCGGCGGACGGGUGAGUAACACGUGGAUAACCUACCUAUAAGACUGGGAUAACUUCGGGAAACCGGAGCUAAUACCGGAUAAUAUUUUGAACCGCAUGGUUCAAAAGUGAAAGACGGUCUUGCUGUCACUUAUAGAUGGAUCCGCGCUGCAUUAGCUAGUUGGUAAGGUAACGGCUUACCAAGGCAACGAUGCAUAGCCGACCUGAGAGGGUGAUCGGCCACACUGGAACUGAGACACGGUCCAGACUCCUACGGGAGGCAGCAGUAGGGAAUCUUCCGCAAUGGGCGAAAGACUGACGGAGCAACGCCGCGUGAGUGAUGAAGGUCUUCGGAUCGUAAAACUCUGUUAUUAGGGAAGAACAUAUGUGUAAGUAACUGUGCACAUCUUGACGGUACCUAAUCAGAAGGCCACGGCUAACUACGUG
rnacentral:rRNA from 1 species